rnacentral:rRNA from 1 species
GUUGUAUAGUCAAGUAAUUAAGUGCAUGUGGUGGAUGCCUUGGCAGUCAGAGGCGAAGAAAGACGUGAUAGCCUGCGAAAAGCUCCGGGG